rnacentral:rRNA from 1 species
GACGAACGCUGGCGGCGUGCUUAACACAUGCAAGUCGAACGGAAAGGCCCUGCUUUUGUGGGGUGCUCGAGGGGCGAACGGGGGAGUAACACUUGAGUAACCUGCCCUUGACUGUGGGAUAACUUCAGGAAACUGGGGCUAAUACCGGAUAGGAGCUCCUGCUGCAUGGUGGGGGUUGGAAAGUUUCGGCGGUUGGUGAUGGACUCGCGUCUUAUCAGCUUGUUGGUGGGGUAGUGGCUUACCAAGGCUUUGACGGGUAGCCGGCCUGAGAGGGUGACCGGACACAUUGGGACGGAGAUACGGCACAGACUCCUACGGGAGGCAGCAGUGGGGAAGAUUGCACAAUGGGCGGAAGCAUGAUGCAGUACAGCAGCGUGCGGGAUGACGGCAUUCGGGUUGUAAACCGAUUUCGCCUGUGACGAAGCGUGAGUGACGGUAAUGGGUAAAGAAGCACCAGCUAACUACGUG